AUUCCAGCUCCAAUAGCGUAUAUUAAAGUUGUUGCAGUUAAAAAGCUCGUAGUUGGAUUUCUGAUAGGGAGCCGAUCACCACUGUUGUGAGUGUUAGGUACCUGUCAUCCUUCUGUUAACCCCUGCGGCAUUCAUUUGUCGUUGGGCGGACCAGAUACUUUACCUUGAGAAAAUUAGAGUGUUUCAGGCAGGCCUAGCCGGAAUACAUUAGCAUGGAAUAAUGGAAUAGGACUAUAGUCUCGUCGUUGGUUACGUGGACUGCAGUAAUGAUUAAUAGGGAUAGUUGGGGGCGUUUAUAUUCCGUUGUCAGAGGUGAAAUUCUUGGAUUUACGGAAGAUAAACUACUGCGAAAGCAUUUACCAAGGAUGUUUUCAUUG
rnacentral:rRNA from 1 species